rnacentral:rRNA from 1 species
UACGAAGGGUGCAAGCGUUAUCCGGAAUUAUUGGGCGUAAAGAGCUCGUAGGCGGUGUGUCGCGUCGGCCGUGAAAACCUGCAGCUUAACUGUGGGCUUGCGGUCGAUACGGGCAUCACUGGAGUUCGGCAGGGGAGACUGGAAUUCCUGGUGUAGCGGUGAAAUGCGCAGAUAUCAGGAGGAACACCGGUGGCGAAGGCGGCUUCCUGGUCCAGCACCGACGUCAGGCACGAAAGCGUGGGGAGCAAACAGG